rnacentral:rRNA from 1 species
AUUGAACGCUGGCGGCAUGCCUUACACAUGCAAGUCGAACGGCAGCACGGGAGCAAUCCUGGUGGCGAGUGGCGAACGGGUGAGUAAUAUAUCGGAACGUGCCCAGUCGUGGGGGAUAACGUAGCGAAAGCUACGCUAAUACCGCAUACGAUCUAUGGAUGAAAGCGGGGGAUCGCAAGACCUCGCGCGAUUGGAGCGGCCGAUAUCAGAUUAGGUAGUUGGUGAGGUAAAGGCUCACCAAGCCGACGAUCUGUAGCUGGUCUGAGAGGACGACCAGCCACACUGGGACUGAGACACGGCCCCAGACUCCUACGGGAGGCAGCAGUGGGGGAAUUUUUGGGACAAUGGGCGCAAGCCUGAUCCAGCAAUGCCGCGUGCAGGAUGAAGG